GGGCGGUUAGCUCAGCUGGUGAGAGCGUCGCCCUUACAAGGCGAAGGCCGGAGGUUCGAAUCCUCCACCGCCCA
rnacentral:tRNA from 1 species